GGGCCCGCACAAGCGGAGGAACAUGUGGUUUAAUUCGAUGAUACGCGAGGAACCUUACCUGGGUUUAAAUGGGGAGUGACAGGAGUGGAAACAUUCUUUUCUUCGGACACUCUUCAAGGUGCUGCAUGGUUGUCGUCAGCUCGUGCCGUGAGGUGUCGGGUUAAGUCCCAUAACGAGCGCAACCCCUAUCAGUAGUUACCAGCAUGUAAAGAUGGGGACUCUACUGAGACUGCCGGUGUAAACCGAGAGGAAGGUGGGGAUGACGUCAAAUCAGCACGGCCCUUACAUCCAGGGCUACACACGUGUUACAAUGGCCGGUACAAAGGGCAGCUACUCCGCGAGGAGAUGCGAAUCUUGAAAGCCGGUCUCAGUUCGGAUCGAAGUCUGCAACCCGACUUCGUGAAGCUGGAUUCGCUAGUAAUCGCGCAUCAGCCAUGGCGCGGUGAAUACGUUCCCGGGCCUU
rnacentral:rRNA from 1 species